rnacentral:rRNA from 1 species
UACGAAGGGUGCAAGCGUUACUCGGAAUUACUGGGCGUAAAGCGUGCGUAGGUGGUUUGUUAAGUCUGUUGUGAAAGCCCCGGGCUCAACCUGGGAAUGGCAAUGGAUACUGGCAGGCUAGAGUGCGGUAGAGGGUAGUGGAAUUCCCGGUGUAGCGGUGAAAUGCGUAGAGAUCGGGAGGAACACCAGUGGCGAAGGCGGCUACCUGGACCAGCACUGACACUGAGGCACGAAAGCGUGGGAGCAA